GUCCUGGGCCUGCCUGACCUCCCUCUCUUCCUUUCCCCCAGGCCUUGCCAAGCCCAUCGGCCUGGUGGAGGGGCCAGGAGGCCUGGGCCAGGGUGGCUUGGCGGCCACCCUGCGUGAUGACGGCCAGGAGGCGGAAGGCAAGUAUGAGGAGUACGGCUACAACGCUCAGCUCAGCGACCGCAUCUCCCUCGAUCGGAGCAUCCCCGACUACCGGCCCAGAAAAGGUCAGGCUGAUGCCGUGAGGCCAAGUGCCCACCGUGAAUCCCACCAUUGCACAGACCAGCUGGGGCUGCCAAGGCCAGCAACAGUGGAAACAUCAGAGCCAUCUGACAGAGGAAGGUCUCCAAGUACCCCGCCCCGUCCCCAUCAUUCCUCCCGUCACCUGGGAGGCUUCCAGCCGUGAGGAAGGCGCGACCCGGGCCCUGCUCUCCCGGCCUGCCUGUUUUAUCUCCUAGCUCUUGCUGUAAGGGAGGAAGGCUGCGUCCGGCACUGGUUUUCGAAUCCCUGCAGGCCCUCGGUCCCCUGUGGAGUCCUCUGGAGGAUCCCAGCACCGCUG
rnacentral:lncRNA from 10 species